UGGGGAAUAUUGGACAAUGGGCGCAAGCCUGAUCCAGCCAUGCCGCGUGAGUGAUGAAGGCCCUAGGGUUGUAAAGCUCUUUCACCGGUGAAGAUAAUGACGGUAACCGGAGAAGAAGCCCCGGCUAACUUCGUGCCAGCAGCCGCGGUAAUACGAAGGGGGCUAGCGUUGUUCGGAUUUACUGGGCGUAAAGCGCACGUAGGCGGACUAUUAAGUCAGGGGUGAAAUCCCGGGGCUCAACCCCGGAACUGCCUUUGAUACUGGUAGUCUUGAGUUCGAGAGAGGGGGGUGGAAUUCCGAGUGUAGAGGUGAAAUUCGUAGAUAUUCGGAGGAACACCAGUGGCGAAGGCGGCUCACUGGCUCGAUACUGACGCUGAGGUGCGAAAGCGUGGGGAGCAAACAGG
rnacentral:rRNA from 1 species